ACGCAACGGGGGCGGGUCCCUGGGUCUGUAGAGCCUGGGGGCCAGAACACGUGGGGUCCCGGUGGCCCUCACCUUGCAGAGUUGGACAAAGAGGACUAAGGUGGUGGCCUAGGUGUGAAGGCUGGUGGGGCCACCACCACAGACCACAGGAGGGGACAUGUGCAGGCCGGGGUCCAGCCUUGCCUGAGGGUUGCGCAGUGUUUUAAAUGACUUCUGCACUAGUGGGCCUCUCCUCCCGAAACCAGUCUCUCCCUCUUAACUCCAUACAGUAAGCAAGGCCAGGGAAGAAGAGGUUGGGUUUCCCUGCCAUCCUUCCUGCCCCAGCCCCUCAUCCUCAACUCACCAUCAAGCCUUCCACGAUCCCAAAUCGCUCGUGGAUGACUUUGGCGAGGGGAGCCAAACAGUUGGUGGUGCAGGAUGCGUUGCUGAAACAGCCAAGGUGUGCACGGGCACUGUGAGGUGGUGACCUCCCCAACUCAGCCCUCAACCUCCUCGGAGGCGCCAACGCUGACUGCUGUCAGCUAGCCCGGACCCUUUCUCCAUAUGCUGCCCGGGACGUGGACUCUGUGACUGUGAGGCCUGCCCAGCUGCUUUCUACUUCCCAGCCCUGACAACCUCACCACGAACCCUCCUAGACCCUCAGCUCCUGCAAUAGGAAGCUGGCUGCCAAGGGCCAGGAGAGUCCCUGAAAACAGACAGUGCAUUAAAGAAAAAGCUCCUGGAGGACUCCUGAAGCCUGAGGCAGCCUUGGGGCAGCGGUGGCUCAUGGUUUACAUUACAAAGGUUUAUCAUGAGUAACUGGGUGCUUUGCUUCUGCGAUUCUUGGCCAGUAUCGGUCUGUUUCCAUUGCCAUUGAGCCUGCUCCCCUCAAUGGGGGGUUCAAUCAAUGUUUGUAGGGUUUGUUUUGAGACAGGGUCUUCCUCUGUCGCCCAGGCUGGAGUGCAGUGGUGCAAUCAGAGCUCACUGCAGCCUUGAUCUUCCUGGCUCCAGCCAUCCUCCUGCCUUAGCCUCCUGAGUAGCUGGGACUACAGGCGCACACCACCAUGCCCAGCUAAUUUUUAAAUUUUUUUGUAGAGAUGGGAUCUCACUUUUGUUGCCCAGGGUGCUUUAGAACCCCUGGGCUCAAGUGAUCCUUGGCCUCCCACAGUGCUGGGAUUACAGGUGUGAGCCACCGUGCCUGUCCUCAUGGGUUUUCUUUGUUUUGUUUUGUUUUGUUUUGUUUUGUUUUUAAGACAGAGUCUCACUCUGUCACUCAGGCUGGAGUGCAGUGGCACGAUUUCUGCUCACUGCAACCUCCACCUUCUGGGUUCAAGCGAUUCUCCUGCCUCUGCCUCCCGAGUAGCUGGGGUUACAGGCAUGCAUUACCACACCUGGCUAGUUUUUUAUUGUUGUUGUUUUUUGUGUUUUUGGUGGUGACGGAGUUUUGCUCUGUUGGCCAGGCUGGUCUCAAACUCCUGACCUCAGGUGAUCCACCCACCUCAGCCUCCCAAAGUGCUGGGAUGACAGGCAUGAGCCGCUGCACCUGGCCUUGUGUUUUUUUUUUUUUUUUUAGUGAGUCAUUUUAUACAUGUUUACUGAACACCUGUCCUGUGCCCAUGUUCUAAGUGCCUUACCUGUAUUAAACUCACGUAACCUUCACAACCCAA
rnacentral:antisense_RNA from 1 species